rnacentral:lncRNA from 1 species
CUUGUUCAGUUCGUGAAAAUUUUUGGUUUUGGCUACUGUAGCACUUUCGUUUGUUUGUGACAAUUAUUAUCUAAUUACAGAGUAACUAGGCUCAAAAGAUUCGUCUCGCAAAUUACAGAUAAACUGUGCAAUUAGUUUUUAUUUUCAUCUAUUUUUAAUACUUCAUGCAUAUGUACAAAGAUUCGAUGUGACGGGGAAUCUUGAAAAUUUUUGAAAACUAAACAAGGCCUUAGUUU